rnacentral:rRNA from 1 species
CUGCCCCUACGGGGGGCAGCAGUGAGGAAUAUUGGUCAAUGGCUGGAAGGCUGAACCAGCCAAGUCGCGUGAGGGAAUAAGGCCCUAUGGGUCGUAAACCUCUUUGUCAGGGAGCCAAGGCGUCCACGUGUGGACGAGAGGAGAGUACCUGAAGAAAAAGCAUCGGCUAACUCCGUGCUAGCAGCCGCGGUAAUACGGAGGAUGCGAGCGUUAUCCGGAUUUAUUGGGUUUAAAGGGUGCGUAGGCGGAAUGCCAAGUCAGCGGUAAAAUCGCGGGGCUCAACCUCGCUCCGCCGUUGAAACUGG